UCAAGUCCGUCUCGCUUAUGGUGU
rnacentral:siRNA from 1 species